rnacentral:lncRNA from 1 species
CUCCCCCAAAGCCAGAAAUUCAUUUUGUCCAUGACUUGCCUCCCAUAUCACCAGAGGUAACUAUUUUACUGUAUGAUUUGCCACUGAAUGACACGAGUCAACACCACUCAAGCCUCUGAUACAUGUAUUGCUUCAGGUAUCGUGGGUCAAGGAGGGUCUCUUGGCACUGAGCUUUGCUGCCUUGGAAGACGGUUGAUGCAGAGUUCUAGAAGCUGGGAAGUUCAAGAUCAAGAUGCCAGCAGAUUCCACGUCUGAGGCCUACCACGACCAUCAGAACUAAAACAAUAAACAACCAAUGGAGCGAAGAUGCCAUUGAUCCACUGAGGAUCGUGUAACGAUCAAGAGAAUGGAAGACAGGCUGAGUUUGAAUGUCAGCUCCUCCACAUCUGGCGAGAAUUUGUACGAGUUAACCAACCUCUCUGUGUCUAAGUUUCCUCAUCAAUAAAACAGGAAUGAUAAAAUAGAA